rnacentral:rRNA from 1 species
GACGAACGCUGGCGGCGUGCUUAACACAUGCAAGUCGAACGGAAAGGCCCUGCUUUUGUGGGGUGCUCGAGUGGCGAACGGGUGAGUAACACGUGAGUAACCUGCCCUUGACUUUGGGAUAACUUCAGGAAACUGGGGCUAAUACCGGAUAGGAGCUCCUGCUGCAUGGUGGGGGUUGGAAAGUUUCGGCGGUUGGGGAUGGACUCGCGGCUUAUCAGCUUGUUGGUGGGGUAGUGGCUUACCAAGGCUUUGACGGGUAGCCGGCCUGAGAGGGUGACCGGCCCCAUUGGGACUGAGAUACGGCCCAGACUCCUACGGGAGGCAGCAGUGGGGAAUAUUGCACAAUGGGCGGAAGCCUGAUGCAGCAACGCCGCGUGCGGGAUGACGGCCUUCGGGUUGUAAACCGCUUGCGCCUGUGACGAAGCGUGAGUGACGGUAAUGGGUAAAGAGGCACCGGCUAACUACGUG